UGCAAACAUAGUUGCAUUGUUUUCGUCCGCCGUUUUCACAGAGGGCGUGUCCGGACCUGCGAAGCGCAAGUUGUUUGCCAGGAGCGUAGCUGCUCUAUAAUAAUUUUCAAAGCUUGUUUACGUAAUUUGUUGAAAUUUUGCCAUCAGAUCCAGUUCAUGAGCGUUCUGACUACUAAAAAAACAGUGUAUAUCCCUGUUCGGGAUACGUCCCCAGUAACAAGAGUACACUGGAAAGCCUCUGCCGUAUAAACGGGAAAAAACUUAAGUAAGAGAGUAAUGUACACGCUCAACGGUUGUGACUAGAUAGAGAUAUACAUUUUGACUAGAUAGAGAUAUACAUUUUGUGCAGAAAGGUUCGUACAGAAUCAGUCGCAACAGUACAAAAGCUAAGGAAUUAGAUCGCAAAGGCCACUUUUCGAAUAUGUUUCUUCUUUUGUGAAGCAAUUAUAUUUGCAUUUUCUGUCUAAAUAAUGCGAUAAUUCAGGUACUGUUCCUUUAACUACACAAAAUAUGUUGCAGCAUUCUCAUAUUUGUAGAAAAGUAUACACAAGAUUGUGACUAGAGUGGUAUAGAAUAUUUAUUCACCUUUAAACGCGUUUACGUGCUUGAUGUCAUAUAAGCAUUAUAGGAAUCUUUAGUUAAUAUGGAAUGUCAGAGCAAAGGACAAAUGAGAAUUGCGCAGUUGCAGACGUAAUGAGUUCAGGUCACCAAAGAAAUGAUAGGUACCCAGGAAUCUGAAAAUCUCGUCAUGUUGGUAGAACACAAAAGUAUGAAUGACAGUUGAAGAAGAAAAUCAAGCUACUAAGAAUGAUAGCAAAAUGUGGGAAGCUCAUUCAGAAAGGGAUGAACUAUUUAAGAUUCAAAGAGAUUUAUUAGUGUUACCGGUACAAAAAAAGUAAACACACACUAUUUGACGGAUACUUUUAUUUACUUUUCCACUUAGUCAUUCUGAACAUAUUCUUCAUUGUCUCUAUUUUAUAGUUGUACGAGGUCAUAUCACAUGACUGUCUGAAGAGAAAUAUAGAAUGUGCAACAACUAACGAUUAAAGAACAUUUAUAAUGCAUCAGUAGUAUCAGUGCAGCAUAUACAGAAAUUAUUACAGACCUGUAACAAUAUACAACCAUUUAUUGUAGCUAUCAAGCCCAAGAUCGUUUUAUUAAUAUUAACACUAAUAUAACAAUAUAAAUAGUAAUUCAUAUACAACAAAAAUUCUACAGACAGGAUUUGCUGGUCAUUUUGGGCAGCUGUGUGAAGUAUAGGGAAGCUUGAACUCCCAAUCAGAAGACAAGAAUGAAGAGAAGGAUGUUAAACUUUUCAGCCAACAAAACACCAACAUAUAAGGAGUAAUCAAAGGGUUUCUGUUCUAAGAGCAUACAGUUUAGAAUUGCAAUACCAAUCAGACAAAAUUGCCAUUCGCACUGAGGCAAUCAUCCCACUGAUGCACCAGGGUUGGAGGUACCAAUUUGGUAAAACACCAUGACCUGCCGGAUGAAAAAGUCUUUAAAUGUCUGUUGCACAUCCAUGUCCGACAAGAAUGGUUGACUGUUCAAGGUCUUUUUUAAGGGACCAAAAGUGCGAUAAUUGCAUGGGGAGGGAUCAGGACUAUAGGGUGUGUGCUUGAGUGACUCUCGCUUGUUGCUGUUGGUAAUGGGCGAGCCUAGCCUUUCAGAUCAACUGGUAUCUUGUGUCAGCAUAGAACUUGGCACAGCAUUCCCCAACAGUGGUUGUCAACAGACAUGCUGCCCGACACCUUUUCUUCAUUCUCUGAUUUGGUGUGUACCGGUGUUUGCCCUUUGACAACCAAGGAAAGAAUAACAGCACAUUGGUCUGUCUGAAUGAAUUUGGUAAUAAUAUUACCAUAGUUUGCCACAUUUAUCACUUGUCAACAUGUCACUUAUUGUAUACCCACAUCAGAGUCACACUAUGUUGCAUACAUGCUGCAACACCUUCAAAUUGAAACUUUUUGAUAGCUCCUCAUAUUUGCACUAAUAUGGAGGAAAGAAAAAUGGGCAGACACUUUUCAGGCCCAAAGAAAAAAAUCAAAAAUACAGUGCUUUUCAAGAAGCUGUAACACUUACUUCAAUACAGCCUUACCAGAAACUAAAUGGAAAAGAAAAAUUCCUUAAAACAAGCAGUGGAUCAUGAAGGAAGUAACAAUAGAUCUAAGGGCUACAUUAAGAGUAAUAAAUCAAAAAUACUGAAAAUAUCAAAGAGCACCAGAAUAAGUAUAGACAGAUGAUAAAACAAACAAAAGCUAUUUCAGAACCCACAAAUAAAAUGGAGAAAGCCUGGGAUAUAAUGAGCACUGAGUGUGACAACAAAAAAUACACACAGAACCUGUGUGGCUACAGAGUGGUGUGGCAACUGUUGUUGUAGAAAAGCUGGAUGGGAACAGAAAUUGAUUAGCAAACAAAAUAACACAGUAAACAGAAGAUUUACUUAACUUGUAUUUCUCCAAAUGUAGAAAGACUCACUACAAAUAAUGCAGCAAAAAUUAGAGUCCAGCUCAUACAACAGUAACCAAGAUGAGACUCAAUGUACUAAGCACGAACGACGGUGUCAUAGCAUUGAGGUUCCAUGUUCAAGCGGAUUGUCUACCGCUAGCCAUCUUGCAUUGUGGUGGCAGAGGGCGGUUGUAGUCCAGAACUGCUGGAGAUGUGGCUCAGCGGGCGCACACCAUUGGGUCCACCGUAUCUGCAUGACCACAAUUGGCAUCAGGCAGAAACUUGCAGUUCCAUUGCAUGAUGUGCAUUGGGUGAUAGUGAUACGUGACACCACAGAACUAAUGGCCAGAGAAAUCACAAGACUAUAUUCACAGAUAAUACCAUUCCGUGCUCUUGAAACCAGAAGCUAGCAAAGGUUUAUGUAAAAUCUAAAGGCAACGAAGUCUGCUAAACAUGAUGAAAUGUCGAACUAUCUAAUCAGGCAUGUAGCAGCCAAAAUAAUUGUGCCAUUAUGGGGCAUUGUCAAUUACUCAUUACAUGGAGUGUUUUCUGAUCAACUUUAAUUAAUUGAAAUAGUACCUAUACACAAAAAAUACAAAAGAAUGUGUGACAGCCUGAGAGGAAUUUGUGGUGUUAUAUGAUGGUUGAUCACAUUGCAAAAUCAUUUUCUCUCUCUCUCUCUCUCUCUCUCUCUCUCUCUCUCUCUCUCUCUCUCUCUCUCUAACAAUUACCUUGAUACAUUGGAUCUGUUUGCAUUACCACAACUGGCUGACCACCAAGACACUGUCCUUUUCCAAUACCUGUCAACCUCGUCAAUGAUUUAAAGAAAUAAAUCAUUGCUAUCAUUGCCACAGUUGAUAUGCCUAGAGCUUUGAUACUAACUGGAUGUUGUGCAUGUCACUUAAGGCAAACAUGUUGAAAUUGAUUGAAUGGCAUAAAAACUUUGUGAGAUAGUGUGUCAUGUAAGCCAAACACGUUGUGAAUAUCUUAAUUAGUUUGGGUGCUAUAACACAUUAAAGUUGCAGUGUACCUUCUGAGACACCCUGUAUAUUCAAGAUCAUUGUGACUGUGUUACAAGAGCCCACAAAACUGGAAGUGAAUGAAAUUGUUCAUCCCCAUAAGACAAGGAACAGAAAAAAAAAUUGCUGCGCCUUUCAAAUAAACACAGAUUCUCGAAAAAAGACCUCAAUAAUCCAUUAUCAAAUGAAUAUGAGCAUUGCCAAGAGAAUUACAAAGUCUCAAAGCUAAGAAGAUUUUCCCUGCAACCAUAAAAAAUUAUACAGAAGGCUAGUUCUGUAGUGUGCUGAAUAUAUGAACAGGUAGUGAGAUAAAGUUCAUCCUGUGAAUAAUAAGUUGUUUGCACAGUCUUUAAGAGAAAGUGAACUAGCAUUUGAUUCAGCUGUUGUACAGGGCGGUGCAGUUAGAUGUACUCCCCUCUCCUUUGAAUGUGAAUGCAGUAUUUUGACUUAUGUAAUAAAGGAAACAGCUACAACGAUGGAAAGUUUUAUGCCAUAAUAGAUUGUUAGCAUUCUUCUGUCAGCAUUUCAUCAGUGAAGUUAGACAUUUCUCUUUGUGGUCUGCAAUAUGACUACUUCAAUAAAAGUAGAAUUAAUAUUGUGGAAGCGUGUGAGAAAACAGGUUCAAUUAAGGAAACUCAAAAAAAAUUUUCAUGGUCAGGUAUGCCGAUAGAGGACUACCAGCAAAGAGAGCAAUAAAGAGCCUGUAUUAAGUCUGCACACCUACUGUAAAAGUAAGGAGAAAAUACAAGAAAAUAAGACUCUGUUACCCAAGUGAUUUCUAAUGAGAGACUUGGGUGAAGUAAAGAAUCACCUUGGGAUAAAUAUUUACUACAAUUAUAUGGAGAAUGUAAUGCCUUUUAACAAGGGGUCCAAGGUAAGUGCCAUAACCCAGUUUCUCAGAAACUUGGCUCAGUGGAAGAAUACACAUCUCAGCUUAUUUGAAAAUACUCGACCAUUUCUGAGGAAACGAGGCUCCGAGUUUUCGAAGUGCCUUUAAAUGUGUGACGAGUUCAACAAAAGUGUUGGCACAGUGGAUGGCUUGGCUACUUCGUGCUUUUGUGCCCCACAUUGAAAACCUGAUUUUUAAGGUAUAUACACAUGUCUGUAAAUGAUUGCUACGCCAAUUUUUCUUAUCAAGUUAAGGAAUGCAAGGGAGUUAUAUUAAUUAUGAAAUUACAGCUGGGUUUAAAAAGUGUUAUAUAUUUGUUAUAUACAUAUAUGUGCGUGUGUGUGGGGUGGGGUGGAGGGGGGGGGGGGGUGGGGGUAAUUUCUGGGAUUACAAUCAUUUUAAAUUCUCGUACUCUUAAAAAAUUUUAUUCUUACAUUUUAUUCAUAUGUUUAUUCUUUAGGAAGAUUUGGUGCAUUCCCUUGGAUGAUACAAAUUGUAGAAAUAUUCAGAACAGAGAAAUUCUAAACACAGUGAGCAUCGCAUGAAAGCAAUGUGUCACAAUCACAUUUCUUAACAUAAAUGUCACACCAGAAAGGUAUUGCCAAUGAUUUUGUGGUGAGCCAUGCAUAAUGAACUACUUUUCUAAAAAAUGGCAUUCGCAGUUGAUUACAAAUCAAAAAAUGCAUGGACUUUUAUCAUGUUGCGUCUAUUGCAGUAUCCCUGUGCACGCAAUGGUUGUAUAGCAAUUCUGCAGGUUUUGGUUGAAAUGUUUUAUUUGCCAAUGAAACUGUUUAUCACGGGACUGACAGAUUGGAGGAAUCACUCUCUAUGGACAGUUUGGUAUACCAUCUUCAUCCAUGAAUUUUUUGCCGUAUAGCGAAGGAUUACUCUGUCUGACCCAUGGCUCAAUUAUGAACAAAGAUAGCUCUGUCCUUGAGGGGACAACACCAGAUGGGCAAGUCAGAAUCAAUUGAAUACAAGACCCUAUUUGUAGGCUGCAGGUAUAAAUGGAUAUACUUGCUGGCCAACUAUACCCCAAUUCCCAGGAACACUGUAGUCUUUCGAGAAUUUUGGCGUAAAUUCUAGAACCACUUGGCCUUGUAAUGUCUCAAACACACAAUAUUUUAGAUGUGAGAGAGGGAUGAUAGAAUCCUACCUACUGCACGUCGCAUGUUUGUGUGUGCAAGUUUGAAGUUUGUCGUGAGAAGACUGUAGACACGGCGGUUGAAAGGCACCGAUAAGUACUUGUCGUUCGAUACAUGGCAGUUGUAGUGAAAGAGCAAGGAAGAACUAUGGAACUUCUAGGUUAUUCUGUGUUAAUCAUAUCAGUGACCAUUGUUAUAAAUAACACGAACAUUUGAGAUUCUGAAUUGUGAAAUAACUCUUAUAUUGGACUUGCUGGAGGCAAGACAUAUUUUACAAUAUGUUUACCAUUUUGUGAGAAGAGGAAUGGUUAUUAAACCAACUCUUUCAUUAGAAUGUGGUGACCGGUGUGAAAGGACUGAAGGAAAAAAGGAAUUUCGAGAUGAAAAUAAGAAAAAAAUGUAUCAAUUGUUGCCAUAGCAACCAAGCAUAACAAGACAAAAGAACUAUUUCAUGGAAUUGGAUUGUGCUUCAAUAUCUGAUAGAGAAAAUUUGUAAAUGUAAAUAAGGGAGAAGAAGUGAAAAAGCCACAAUGAGAAAAACCGGAGAGAAGAUCUCAACGUAUUAGACUAAGAAGAGAUACACUUAGAAUGAGAUGACUAAGAUGAUCUGGUGUGGGGAGCAUACAGUUCUCACACAUGUGGGUACGCAGAUGCAGAAACCAGCAUCUGACACCUACGGCACCAGUUGCUGUUCACUGGUGCUGAUCACACCGAUCUCACCGACGCAGCCCAGAUUCUACACCGGGUUUGAAUUUUGUCGUGAGAAGACUGUAGACACAGCGGUCAAACAGCACCAACAAGUACUUGUCAGUCGAUCCAUGGAAGUCGUAGUGAAAGAGCAAGGAAGAACUAUGGAACUUCUAGUUUAUUCUGUGUUAAUCAUAUCAGUGACCAUUGUUCAUUGUUAUAAAUAACAUGAACAUUUGAGAUUUGGAAUUGUGAAAAAACUCUUAUCUUGGACUUGCUGGAGGCAAGACAUAUUUUACGAUAUGUUUGUAGUAGAAACGUGGUUGUUAAGCCAACUCUUUUCUAAAUGGACUUAAAUCUGUUUCUAAUGUGAUACUAUAUGAGUUACUUAUGAGAAGUAAAAUGUUUAUGUGUGAAGUGUGAAUUUUGUUCUUUUGAAGCUCAUAUAUACCAAUAGUCAUUGAAAAGUAUUCUUCGAGUACCAAAUUAUUUCACAAGUGGUGAGAGAGUCUUUAAGGUUCCUGUAACUAGCAUCAUUCUUCAGAGAAGUUUAUAGAGAUUCCAGAAGUUGCCUGUCUAGUGAAGAAGACUGGCUGUAUACACCAAGUAUGUCGACUCGCAUAAGAGAAGUGGGAAGGUUGCAAUACAACUCCACACAUUCUUUUAGCCAAAAAAACAUUAGAACACGUAGGCAACACCACCAAUAUCAUUGACAAGGCAGUUUCAAAUAAUUCUCUCUCUUUAAAUUCAUUCAGCACGCAGACAAUUAGUUGAUGAAUAAGGAGAACAUUAUUUCAACAAGCAUUGGGUGAGGGGGGAGGGAAAUAAUAACCAAGUUUCAAACCCAGGGCAGAAGUGUGAAGUUGCUAUGCUCUCCGCUAUGCCACCACUUUGGUUGAACUAGUUGUGCACUAAGAGACAUCUGAAGUCUGUCACAAACUUUUAUCCUCAUUUCCUCAGAAAUGUUAUAGUAACUGCUGAUAAGACGAGAAAUAUCAUAUUGAACAUUGAAAGUUGUACAACACACUAAUUUAAGUUAAUUUGAAAUCAGAACCAGCACAAGAUGUGAGUCAUGACAUUUAAUACAGGAAAGUGUUUGGUCCUUUACUGCACGUUAGCUCAGGAAUAUGACCAGAUACAAGUUACAGUGUGAACUAUGUGAUUAGAUUUCAAAAUUGUUACAGUGAUACCCACUGUAAGUAUGAUGUGAGCAUACCAAAAUAUUUGCAUCAAAGAAAAGAAAUAAAGUUUACAUAUGGAAAGACUGAAAAUACUGAUCCCUUUGACUGUUUUGUAGAUGCAGAUUGGGCAGGUGAUUGUGUAGAAGUGUUACAAAAUCUACUUUUGCUGAGAAAGUAGCAUUGUCAGAAGUUGUCACCAAGAUUAAGUUAAUUGUGGAUAUUUUGAAUACUGCUGAUGCAAAAUAUAUUCAAGUACACUAUCAUUCUGUGAAUCAGACUUUUUUCCAAACCUUUGAGCAGAGAUAAAUGUAUGAAAUUUCAAGAAAUGUUGAAUGUAAUUUGAUUGCAAUAUAAAUACAAGGAGGAACGUUGGACUGUGGUAUAUUUAUAGCUGUAGUACUGACAAUGUUGAGAGGAAAGUAUAGUGUGUGUACGUGUUUACAGUCAGUUCCAUGCUGUGUGAGUCCACUGCGUAAAGUGAGAUAUACAUUGUA